rnacentral:rRNA from 1 species
CCUACGGGUGGCAGCAGUGGGGAAUAUUGCACAAUGGGGGAAACCCUGAUGCAGCGACGCCGCGUGAAGGAAGAAGUAUCUCGGUAUGUAAACUUCUAUCAGCAGGGAAGAAAAUGACGGUAACUGACCAAGAAGCCCCGGCUAACUACGUGCCAGCAGCCGCGGUAAUACGUAGGGGGCCAGCGUUAUCCGGAUUUACUGGGUGUAAAGGGAGCGUAGGCGGUUGAGCAAGUUAGAAGUGAAAGCCCGGGGCUCAACUCCGGGACUGCUUUGGAAACUGUUGAACUAGAUGGCAGGAGAGGGAAGUGGAAUUCCUGGUGUAGCGGUGAAAUGCGUAGAUAUUAGGAGGAACACCAGUGGCGAAGGCGGCUUACUGGACUGUAAAUGACGCUGAGGCUCGAAAGCGUGGGGAGCGAACAGGAUGAGAUACCCGAGUAGUC